rnacentral:lncRNA from 1 species
GGAAAACCUAAAUAACCUUGAUGUGUAGCAAAGUUGGCUGUUAAGUAGGGCUGUCAAUAGAUAAAGUGUCUAUAAUCAAGAUCUUGCUUUAAACAUUAAAGAAUGGCCUGAUUCUGCUAUCUUACAGUUUCAUGCUCGAAAUUUAAAUUAUACUAAAGAAGCAAUCUCAUUUUUUUGUAUAUGAAAACAGAAAAUUCAUUGGAUGCUCAAAUUGGGUUGUUCAAUUAAUUAGUUGAUCUUGACAACAACAUAUUAUUUUCAUUGCCACUUAAACAUCUCAACAUGUUUAGUUCAGUAAAGGCCCAUUCUAAUUUACCUUAAGCUGAAUUUGACUAGUUUACAAAACUUUCCCAGGCACUUCUGUUAAAUAAAAUAAACAGAUAGCCUAGAUGGAUAGAACUGUAUAAAUAACACACCCCUUAGGUGGAUAACCACACCAUAAAAUGUCUUAAUAGCCAAACCUCAGUUUUUCCACCUCCUUCAAGCAAAGGUGGGAUUUCCUCAUUAACGGGAGAACUCUUAGACGCUCCCUUUAGGCCAACACCUUGUUGCUUGAGCAAAGCUACAAGUACGCAGAGGAGUUUCAUGGUCAAUUUGCUUCUUAAAUUUCUGUAAAUAUCUAGAGUUUUUACAAGAGUAUUUACCUGCUACUUUUCCUCUACCUUCUUCAGGAGCAGAUGGUGCUGAGCCUGAAGGCCACGAAUCAAAUUUGGACUUAAAUGUAUUUGUUUCAUACCCUUGAAUGAGACGGGUUACAUGUGUUGACUUUGGUCUAUUUUGACUAGCAAUGAAUUCCUAAGAUCAUAAUCACGACAGAAGGGAAAAAAAAUAUAAGGAUAGGAAGCAUCUAGCAUCAUCUACACGAGGAUCUGAAUCAAAGAACUACCUCAGCGACUUGAAUAGCAGCUUUUCUAUCAUCUACUUGUGUUACCCGACCAAUCCAAACAAAAACUUCAGCACCACAAUCUAAUAAAAAGCAUUUGUUAUUUUCCAAUAACGAUUUGGACAGAUCACCAUCUACUUCAUUGACUUGACCAGCUAUAAUGCUGCAAAAGAAAAAAGGGGAGCAAAUUUCAGCACCUCGAGUCUAUUAAUGCUUGUAGCAUCAGUCAUCAAUCAUUAUAUUAUGACACACGGCCUGAUAAAAAAAAGGUGACCACAGCUCCCCUCAUUUGUAUUAAGACAAAAAACAUUUUGUCUUGAACUGUUGCAGAAUAAUUUGUGUAAAGUAUCUCGAGGAUGGGAAAAUUAAAAAGAUAUCUUGUGAACUACUAGAUAGCAAAAAGGAGGCCAUAUAUAAAGUAAAUCUUAUAAUUUAAGACAUAAAAUUUUCACUCUCAAGCUCCCUACUUCAACAUAAUGGUACAGCAGCUUGGCAAAAAGAAGUUAACACCACAAGCAAGGGGAAAAAAAGAUUACCUAUACAGUUUAGGAGCGGUCUUCUCGGGAAUAGCAUCAUCUUCACUAGCAACUUUUUUACCAAUUGGAGCAAAACCGCCAAAUAUGACCCAAAAUUCACCAGAAUCGGACUCCGCCUGUAGCUUUCCGUCAUCUGGAGUACAGCAUAGCAUCACAAAUAUAAGUAACUAGGGUUGAUUCAUCAACCAUCACAAAGGAGAACCAGAUUACUAGAAGAGUAUAUAAUGAAUUGGAAAGUAACUAAAGAAACCAAGAUAAAAAUCUCAGAUCAGAUGACCUGACCAUGAUCAUAAAGCAAAAACAGGAACAUUGUAUAUCAUGAAAGUCCCCAUACCAACAAUUGCGACAUCACACUUUCCCUCGUGAUACUUUUCUUUUAAAAACUGAAUCACUUCUAAGGAUUUGGCCCUUUCCUGAAUAUUGGAGUUUGCGCCGUUAAAUUGAAAAAUUUUCUCUUUGGUGUCCAGAAUAAAGACAUCAUCAUGAUUCAAUGAAGACCGAGAAAAGGGGACCUGAAUAAGAAAAAAAAAACUUAUAUUCCUCCAAACAAACUUUGAGAUUGACAGACUUUUACCGUGUUCUGCACAUGCCAUACCUGCUUCAAUCUAACAACUCGUUUUCCUUUACAGACAUAUAGCCGUGUUUCAAAUUCUUCCUCCUCGGGUUUCUUAAAUCCUGAGGCAACACCUCCUUCGAGUGGUAUAAUACAUGGUUUAAAGUAUGAUAAAAAUUUAUCGGACUCAUGACCUUGGAGUUCUCUGUACUGCACUGCACGUCCACCAAGAAUUGCAUCAAGCUCUACAGUCUUUAUAGCUGCUGUUCCAGCUUCAUCCUGUUAUAUGAGUUUUAUUUAUCUCUCAGAACAUAUUAUAGGCUAGUGAAGUGACGAGAUGAAUUUUUUUUUUAUAAGGAUGAACCCUUACCUGGCUUGUAUCUUUUCCUAGCCAAAAGUGUAUGUCAUACAGAUAAGCACCUCCCCUUCCAGGACUUGUCUGCAUGGAUAUAAGUUUAUGAAGCAUGUUUCACUUAUAAUUCAGUUAUUGACAUUGUCCCGAACAAAAAAAAAAAGAAAAAAGAAAAUUGUAUGUAGGGCAUAACCACCUGCAAGAUAAUAUACGAAUCCCCCGAAUAGAACCGGCCAUAAUCAGAUUUUGGCAAUGCUACUGGUAGAAAAUUCUCAAUUCUCCAAAUUUCAGUUCCACUAAUAGGUGUUAAGCACCAAACAACAUAAAGAAUGCAACUGAAAAGAAAAUCACUUAAAAACUGAACAGUAAAAACAACCUACAGACCUAGUAUAUGAAUGAAUUUAAAAAUGGUUGUGGCCUAUAAAAAGAACAAAAUUGCUAUCAGCAGAGGCAAAUUGUAAUUAAGGAUACAGUUUCUGCCCCGCACCCUGAAAUGCAGGCUCCAAAGCUUUUGUUGUGCUAGACAUUGCGUAAAGACCUCUCUUAUUACUGUUACUCCCAGAAAUAAAUAAGAGAAGUCCUUGUUACUCCCAGAAAUAAAUAAGAGAAGUCCUUGUGAAUUCCAAGUUGUACAAUCUCCAAACGGCUGCAGAUAUUAUAGAGGGAAGUAGGUAGGUUGCAAUCAUACAUAUACAUCAAUAGAUGCUAUAAUAUCUAAAGAUGAAGAACACAAAAUAUUAUACUUAUCAUGUGACAUCGUGGGUUGUUAUGCGUACCGGACCCAACAACCCACCACAGGUCGGCCCAAAAGUGAUAGCAAAUUUUUGAUUGUGCUUAUAAAGGGCCCAAAUACUCUUUAACUAUCGAUAUGAGAUGUUACAUAUCAACUCUAGAUGACAACAUAUUCUUUUGUUUUUCCAGUCAGUAAGCAAAAAAGGAUAAGGUAUGGUUCAUUCACAAGUAAUUCCCUAAAGUAGACAUGUUGAUACAAGACGAGCAAAAGCGAACAAAAAAAAUCAUGCAAUCAAACUACUGUACAAUUUGACUACAGAUAUCAUCUUAUAGUAGAGUGCAUCUCCACCGCAGGAUAAAUUUGUGCACAUUUACAAUGCCGCAAAUAUAGAUAUCAGGUAUGGUUCUCUGCUUUUAUUGAUUCUACUACUGGACAAUGCCAGCGGGCAAUGAAUCUUAAGAUUGAUUCGUGUCUUGCAUAGAUAUUAUAAGAAAAGAAAAAUGUACGCCUUGGAACUUCCUUCUCAUUCAUAAUCUUAGCAGAAAAAGAACCUACUCUCUCUAAACUAAUCACGUAUUAAGUUGAUCACAAGGAGACAAAACUCGAAACACUUGACAGCCACCCAAUCUCCCAGCCGAAACAAAUUCACACACACAGACCUAUCCUAACCGCUACGAUCCACUAAUCACACGCCAAUCCACCACUAAAUACACAUCAAACGUCCACACUCACUCAAUCACUUGACAUAUCCCCAAAUUAACCAAUCAAAAUAGCACAAAACAACAUAAACAUAUCUCCACACACAAACACACAGAUUUCAAAUAUUCACAUCAUAAUAAUCCAAUAAAACAAGAGAUCUGCGAUCGAUCUCAUUGACUGACGAUUGACUGAUAACGACUAAACAACAGAGCAUCAAAAACUACCUUUAUGACGAGAUCGCCGCGCUGUGUUGCUGCUGCUUCUCUCUCUAAAAGAUGAAGAAGAGUGAAUGAUUUGAUGAGUGUAGAGAGAGAAAGGUGUGUUGCAAAAGAGAAAGGGGGAUAUAAAGCUGGCAAAAAUAUAGAAAUGGAGGAGACAGAGGGUGGUAAAAAGGAAAGGUGAGAUAAUUAUUGCUGUAGGUGUUUCUUUGUGUUUUUUUUCUCUCUCUAACUUUUUUUUUUUGCUUUUUGGGAAUUAUUAUGAAUCGAAAUUGUACUUUUUGACAGAUGAUAGGAGAGUAUAUACACAAGAUGAUAAGCAUAUACUUUUGCUUGAAUUACCAAAAUUUUAAAACAAAUUAUUAAUUUAUUUUAAUUUUUUAUUAUUUAUUUUCUAAUUUAUGUCAGAAUUAAUUUAAAAAAAAAUUGAGAAAAUGGUCCGAACUUUGAAUGCAAAAAAGGAGGGGGGGCACCGGCCUUGCUGGAUUUUUAUUGCAAUAAUCAACUUUAGGACUUGCUGCUCCCUUUUCGUGCUCUCCAAUCUCUUCAUCACCCGUUUAUUACAAGUAAAUGCACCCGUCGUUUUCAACGUUAGACGGUUCGAAGAUAAAAUAGUUGUAAUAAUAUUAUGUUAAUUAAAUCGGUUUUUCUAUGGCGUGCGCAUGGGCACAUGCUAGGCGCGGAAAAUUUUGUGUUUGGAAGAUUUUGAUUGGCUCCUCUCUCUUGAUAAUGGUGGAUCCCCUGCAAAUACACCAACCAACACUAGACAAACCGUAAUUAAAUUAAUUCCUUCUAACAAUUGUAUGACACGUUUAAUUUAAUAAUAUUUACUCGGUGAGAUAAGUUAGAAAAUGCAAUUCGUUGGGUCAAUUUUACAUUCUGGGCUUCAGCACCAAAAUGUGUUGUGUUUAUCUUCUUCAAGGCUUUCUAACUAAUUUGGAGGCAGUGAACAAAACUUUAGUGCGGGGCUUUAAAUUAUCGUAAGAGCAUCUCCAACGGCGUUGGCUAUAAUCGUUGGCUAAAUUGGACCUGUAAGACUUUAUGUAAAAUUUGCUGAAUAUGUAACACAUUUUGCUUCAAUGGUAUUGGCUAUCUUGGUUGGCUAUAAUUUAAAAAUAGUAUGUUAUUAAUAUUUUAAAUUGUUAAAAUAGAAUAUAUCAGUUCAAUAUGGUAAUAAAUGAUGUGCAAUCUUCCUACAGAUUUUCUUACAGACCUGUAGACGUUCGACAAAUUUAGCCAUCCAUAGGAGGUUGGCUAAAAUUAUAGACAACAGGUGGACGUGGUUGGAGUGUACUUUUUUGACGAUGUUGGCUAUAAUUUUUAAUUAUGGUGUGACAACUCACAUUUUAGCUAAGGGUACUCUAUGGUUGGAGAUGCUCUAAGAGCAUCUCCAACGGCGUUGUCUAUAAUCGUUGGCUAAAUUGGACCUGUAAGACAUUAUGUAAAAUUUGCUGAACCUGUAAGACAUUUUGCUUCAAUGGUACUGGCUAUAUUGGUUGGCUAUAAUUUAAAAAUAGUAUGUUAUUAAUAUUUUAAAUUGUUAAAAUAGAAUAUAUCAGUUCAAUAUGGUAAUAAAUGAUGUACAAUCUUCCUACAGAUUUUCUUACAGACCUGUAGAGGUUCGACAAAUUUAGCCAUCCAUAGGAGGUUGGCUAAAUUUAUAGACAACAGCUGAGCAUGGUUGGAGUUGGGUUUUUGGAGCUGUUGGCUAAAUUUUUUUAUUUUAAGUAUGCCACAUAACUUUUUAGCCAAGGGCUUUAGAUGGUUGGAGAUGCUCUAAAGGAAAAAAAUAAAACACUGGUGAUAUCAAAUUUAUAUUUAAAUGACACGUCAUAAAUAACUGUUUCAACAACGGAUCUAAUUAAAUUUUGUUAUUAAUAGUUUUUAAUAAAAUUACUUAAUAAUAGAUAGUAAGUAUUUGCAUUUAAGGAAAGAUAUUUUGAUUAUUAAUAAAAAAACGUUGUAUAAUUUUAAAAAUUACACCACAUAUAUAUAUAAUUAAUAUAUUUAAAUUUGUUUAAAUGAAUUAUGACAAAAUAAAUAUAUUUCAAAAUGAAAAUUUAAAUGAUAAUAAAAUUUUGGUAUUAUAGUAUGCUAGCAUAAUAAAGAUUUCAAAAAUUACUAUAAUAUGAUGAUGAAAUACAUAAAUUAAAGUUAUAUGUUAAAAAAAAAAAAGGAACGACUAGAAUUAUUAUUUUUGAACUGUGACAUUAUUUUUUUAACAAAAUUAUUGGUAUGUUAAAAAUUCGUAUAAAUUGUAACAUUUAGUUUUAAAAAAUAUAAACUAACUUAAAAAUUGUAACAAUGAAAAUAUAAUACGGGAAAUAGAUCAUUUCCUCGUAUCUUAAACUAAAAUUUAUUGUUGUCCAAAUUAGCAUGUGCAUAUUUAAAAGGUUAUUUUUGAUUAAUAAUUGAAUCGAAUAUUAGAGUGAACACUAAUGUAUAGAUUAUAUAAUAACUAAAAUCAUAACAUACGCUCAUUCCAUUUAAUAGAGUAGUAUAUAUGUGGGGAUGUUACAUGAAGGUUAAAUGAAAUUAAAAUUUAAUUUAAGAAAAAGGUAGACGAAAUGUUGAGAUCCACUAAUAUUUGAUAUAUGAAAUAAAUAAAGCGGAAAUAGUUAAUUUUUUAUCAUAAUUUUUAAAUAUUUUUUAAAUAUAUACAAUUAAGAGGACGUCAAAAAAUAAAUUAUAUAGAAAUGAACAGACAAAAAGAGUAUCAAGCAAAUAUGUGUUUUGGGAGUAAAGUUAAUAUUAAAUAAAUUUUACAUGUUUUUCAUGAAUGCUACCACAAACAAUUACAGGUAUUAUAUUUAUAUUUUAAAUUUUGUAUCCACUAUUAAUUUUUUAUGAAAUCAAAUAAACAUUAAAUAAUGGAUAAAUAUUUUAAGAUCUAAAUAUAUGUAAUAAAUAAUUUAAAAUCUAAAUAAAAAUUAAAUAAUGGAUAAAUAAUGGUCUUUCUAGUGUGUCUACUUUUUGUUGAGGUGGAGGACUUUUACUGGUUAUGAUUUUUGUGCAUAUGCAUGAGACCAUGAUUAUUAAUGAGGUUUGGCCAAUAAAAACUUUCCACCUCAACAAAAAGUGGUUGUUAGCGGCACACACUAGAAAAUCCAUAUCUUAAAUACAAGAAUUCACAAUUUCAUAGUUACCGGCGGUAAAAUUCACGAAAAGUGUGUAAAAUUUAUAAAAUAUUAAUUUUAAUUGUUUAACACAUUUAAAUUAUAUUUUAUAUUGAUUAUAAUUUUAUAGAUUCAAGUGAUACCCAAUUGAUUCGAGUGAUGUCCGGUUAAAAUUUGAGUGAAUUAUAAUUCUAUUUUAAAACUAGUUAUAUGCAAAUUAAAAUUUGAACUGAAAUCAAAAGCCAAAAUCAAAAUCCAAUAGAUAACGGGAACCAGGAACUAAGCACAACUCUUAGUAUAAAUACAUGUAUCCAGUUUAAGUUAUGAUCAUCAGUGUUUGUUAUUUUAUUUCUUCCAAUCAUCAAGUAAUAUUUGUAAAAGAAAAUAUGGAUAACUUUAUGAAUCCUUUGUUGAAUACUAUUAUGGAUUGUUCAGAGCGGAAGAUUCUAAAAGGACAAGAUGAUCUUAGACGUAAGCAAAACAUGAGGAAGUAUGUCAAAAAAAUCGAAGGAAGCUUGUUCACUGAGCAUCUAAAAUCAGUCACAAACACUGCAAAUAAAGUUGAUGGAAGAAAAGAGAGGAUAAGGUGUCGUUAUGCAAAUAAUUUAUUGAAUCCGGUCAAAAAUAUAUUUGAGUGGAAUAUGCUCAAGAAGAAUCAUACCGAAUUCGAGAUGGCAAUCGAUGAAAAUAUUUCUAACAUGCUUAAGGAAGAAGAUCGAGAUUUGAGGGAGAAGUAAUCGGUCGCCCGAGAUUGCAAGCAAUUCCUCGGAUGCUCAAAUAAUUAAUUGAUCUAGACAACAACAUAUUAUUUUCAUUGCCAUUUAAACAUCUCAACAUUUUUAGUUCAGUAAAGGCUGAUUCUAAUUUACCUUAAGCUGAAUUUGACUAGUUUACAAAAUUUUGCCAGCCAUUUCUGUUAAAUAAAAUUAACAGAUGGUCUAGAUGGAUAAAACUGUAUAAUAAAUAACACACGCCUUAGGUGAAUAACCACACCAUAAAAUGUCUU